CACGCAGGUGGCGAGCGUUGUCCGGAUUUAUUGGGCGUAAAGAGCUCGUAGGCGGCUUAGUAAGUCAGGUGUGAAACCUCCAGGCUCAACCUGGAGACGCCACCUGAUACUGCUGUGGCUAGAGUCCGGUAGGGGAGCAGGGAACUCCUGGUGUAGCGGUGAAAUGCGCAGAUAUCAGGAAGAACACAAGCGGCGAAGGCGCUGCUCUGGGCCGGAACUGACGCUGAGGAGCGAAAGCGCGGGGAGCAAACAGG
rnacentral:rRNA from 1 species